UACAUAUCCAUUUACACAWUUCAAAAAAACAUUUUAUAUUUUUUUUACUUAUAAAUCCAAUUUUAUAAAAAUUUUCAUCUUUACGCUAAUAAUAAAUUAAAUGUAAUACAUUUAACCUUAAACAUAAUCUGCACCUUGACCUGACUUUUUUAAAUAUUCUAUUUUUAAAAUUAAUUUUCAAAUGAUUUUUUAAGACGGAGGUAUACAAAAUUAAUGAAUUUAAGUAAAAUUUUUGGGGAUUAUCAAUUUAAUAAACAUAUUCCUCUAAGAAGAAUUUAUACCGUCAAAUUCUUUAAAUUUCCUGAUCUUAACAUUUACUAUUCAAAUUUUUUUUUUACGUBAAAUA
rnacentral:rRNA from 1 species